rnacentral:rRNA from 1 species
ACGAAGGGGGCUAGCGUUGCUCGGAAUGACUGGGCGUAAAGGGCGCGUAGGCGGAUUAUUCAGUCAGGCGUGAAAUUCCUGGGCUCAACCUGGGGACUGCGUUUGAGACGGGUAGUCUUGAGUUCGGAAGAGGGUCGUGGAAUUCCCAGUGUAGAGGUGAAAUUCGUAGAUAUUGGGAAGAACACCGGUGGCGAAGGCGGCGACCUGGUCCGAUACUGACGCUGAGGCGCGAAAGCGUGGGGAGCAAACAGGAUUAGAUACCCUGGUAGUCCACGCUGUAAACGAUGUGUGCUGGAUGUUGGGUGACCUAGUCACUCAGUGUCGUAGCUAACGCGAUAAGCACACCGCCUGGGGAGUACGGCCGCAAGGUUG